GACGAACGCUGGCGGCGCGCCUAACACAUGCAAGUCGAGCGAUAAGCACCUUCGGGUGUGGAAAGCGGCGAACGGGUGAGUAACACGUGAGGAACCUACCCCGGUCUUCGGGAUAACAGCGGGAAACCGUUGCUAAUACCGGAUAUCCCAUCCCCACCGCAUGGCGGAGAUGGGAAAGAUUUAUCGGACCGGGAUGGCCUCGCGGCCUAUCAGCUAGUUGGUGGGGUAACGGCCUACCAAGGCUA
rnacentral:rRNA from 1 species